rnacentral:tRNA from 1 species
UCCCUGGUGGUUCAGUGGUAAAGAAUCUGCCUGUCAAUGCAGGAGGCACAGGUUCGAUUCCUGGUCCAGGGA